rnacentral:rRNA from 1 species
UACGGAGGGUGCGAGCGUUGUCCGGAAUCACUGGGCGUAAAGGGCGCGUAGGCGGUCGGGUAAGCGUGCGGUGAAAGCUUGGGGCUCAACCCCGAGUCGGCCGUGCGAACUGCUUGACUGGAGCACUGUAGAGGCAGGCGGAAUUCCGGGUGUAGCGGUGGAAUGCGUAGAGAUCCGGAAGAACACCGGUGGCGAAGGCGGCCUGCUGGGCAGUGGCUGACGCUGAGGCGCGACAGCGUGGGGAGCAAACGGG